GGCUUUUACCUGAUACAGACCCCUCACCACUAAAUGGCAUAGAGCGCCUGCGCAGUUCAAUUUUAGACACUUCACGUGACGUCUCGAAGGGAUCGAAAACAACCUGCCAGUCUUAUUUAAUUUGGUCAGAAUGACACAAGUUUUGUUGUACUCUUUCCAUACAUUGUAUAAAGUCGAUCAAAAUUCUUCUGUAAUACCCGACCAACACCUGAAUUUACGACAGACCUCAAGGGUCAAGUACCAUGGCAGGAAACAUUAGGGGGAGACCGUGCUGAAACCUGGAGUGCUAGCUCUGACUGUUGAUUUCACUUCAGAGGAGAAAAGAGAUACAACUUUCACGCCUUUGUCCCUCAUGGAAAACAAACACAAAUUUAUUGAUAUAUUGCCAAUAAAAGCGCAGUGUUAUACAAGGAGGUAGAACCCGACAAUCACCAUCAACAGCACACACAUGGCUACCCAACAACCGCCAUCAACAGCACACAAAGGGCUACCAGGAAUCAGAACCCGACAACCAGAUGACUUCACAAUUUAUACGGGUUGAAUUAGGUCCUUAUGAUAUAUCGCUCAUAGUAAACAUGUAUGUCACAUUGUGGAUACUGAUUAUUUGUAAAUACACAUGUAUACCUUUCUUGACCUAAAGAUUCUGGAAUAGGACCAAGACGCAGUAACCGCUAUCAUGCCAUAAAAAACCUGUGACAUGUAUGAAUAUGUUGCAAACAUUGUACAAUUAUUGACAUUGAUCUAUCUUAAAGGUAGCAAAAGUAUCUUUUUGACCGAGAACAUGUCUAUAAUUGUUUUGUUAUAUGAUAGAAUUAAUUAAAACAUCGAAACCGACUACUAGACCUUACAAAACGAUACAUGACGGCCAUCUUUGUUUACACCUAGAGUGCAAGACUUAGUCGAAAGUAAUUAGAGAAGUUAGUCUUAUGUAUCAUAUGUUUAAAUAAUUCAAAGCAUCAGAAUCGGCUAUUAGUGUUUACCAAACAAUACCUGAUCGGCCAUCGUUGUUUACAUCUAUAGUGCAAGACCAGGUCGAGAGUGAUUAGAGACGCCGUUUUUGUUUGUCAUAUGAAUGAAUAAUUCACAACAUCAAAACCUGCUAUUAAAGCUUACCAAACAAUAA